rnacentral:rRNA from 1 species
UACGGGGGAUGCAAGUGUUAUCCGGAAUAAUUGGGCGUAAAGCGUCUGUAGGUGGUUUACCAAGUCUGUUGUUAAAAAUCAGGGCUCAACCCUGAUCCGGCAACAGAAACUAGUAGACUUGAGUACGGUAGGGGCAGAGGGAAUUCUCGGUGUAGUGGUGAAAUACGUAGAUAUCGAGAAGAACACCAAUAGCGAAAGCACUCUGCUGGGCCGUAACUGACAUUGAGAGACGAAAGCUAGGGGAGCAAAAGGG